UACUUGAAUAGUGUAGAUGUUGAAUUACCUGUAUACAUGACGAUUAAAGAAUUAUGUGCUGAUACCUUCCAAUGUUGGUUGAACUACAUAUGCUUUGUUUACUGGUUUUUGUAGAUAAAAAUAAGGGAUGUUGUGUUGUUGGCAAGCUUGAUACUACAGUGAAUGCUCACCUAAUGCUUAAUGUCUUGCUUUACUACAAAGGUCUUCCAUAGAUACAGUGCCUCAGUCACUUUGAUUAGAUGAGAAAACAUUUAAUCACAGAUAUGAUGCCUCCAUGUUAAAUACUGAAGAAAUGGGGGUUGUAUAUUUUCAGAUCAACAAGGCAAGAAUAACUUUAUUGUUUCCCUGUUUUUUCUUUUUUCUCAAGCAACAUAAAAAUUGAAUGUAUUCCUUACUACUAUUGAAUUGCAGGCACAAAAUAUAUAAACUUGGUUCAGAUCUUCCUGGUUCGAUUCCACAGCGAAUGUAAAACUUAUAUUCGUAAUUUAUAUCCACUGCAGGAGGCAGGACCACAUGAACAAGCAGGUUGUUGUCCAAGCAUAGUUGCUACUGCAAGAGCCAGCAUCAGACAACAUCCGAUCUAUACAAAAUCCAUCCAUCUGUCUCGUCUCAUGCAUGCAUAACCAGGCCGAUGGUAACUUGUCUACUAUUCUACUCACUGCAGUUUACGAUAAUUUGUCUACUACUCUACUUAAGCUUGAGGGUGAAGUGGACGAUAAGUUGUAUUAUUGACCAAGUAUAUCUUGUUCAUAAGCCUAAGAUUUGCAUACACCAUAGAAGCCGUAUAUAUGUUUGAGAUAAUCAGUCCAUGGCUGAUAUUGCUAGAGCAGGAGGGCGAGGCAGUGGCAAAGGUAGUCAGUGUGUUUAGAUCUUGAACCAGUUUGGGCUUGCCCAUCUGAGUGCCGGCGAUCUUCUUUGCAAAAAAGUUAAAUCCGAGCAAGGGUAACAAUCUGCUCUCAGUGUAUUUCAACCCUCAUUUAAGCAUAUCACAUUCCACUUUCAUUUUAUUUAUUUACUUUUAAGAGCUAUGCUUUAGGGUUCGGUGUCGUAUUUGUAUCAUCUUUAUAUAACCUUUUUUGUUUAGAAACAAAAGUUGCGUGUGCAAUGUUGAAGCUUGUUACGAUAUUAUUAUUGCAGACUUGCCUUAUCACCUAUUAAAUAUGACAUGUUUUAUUGAGGGCAUUUA